GUUCCGUUGCCGUUGACGAUCACGUGUACGGAUGGAAACACCGCCAUCACGGGAACGUUCAACGUCAAUAUUGUCGACGAGCCUCCGGUGAUAUCAGUACUUCCGGCGAUCGGAACGGCUAUCAACGACGGUUUGCAGACGGUCGCCACAAUCCUCCACACGUUCAGCGUGACAGACAGCGAUGACGCCGUAAACUGCUCCGUGAGAGCGCCGCAAAACGCCCGUUUUGAAGUGGUACUCGCCACUAGCCCAGCGUUCAAUAUCCGCGUUAAAGCGGGGGCGACGUUAGCGGCCGCCGAUGGACCUCACGUCAUCAACGUGGAUUGUUCAGACAGCGUCAACACCGUCAAUCACACGUUCACAAAGCCAGCCUGUAUUA